rnacentral:tRNA from 1 species
GCCGGGGUAGCUCAGUUGGUAGAGCAACGCAUUCGUAAUGCGUGGGUCGGGGGUUCGAUUCCCUUCUCCGGCACCA